rnacentral:rRNA from 1 species
UUGAACGCUGGCGGCAUGCCUAACACAUGCAAGUCGAACGUGAAAGGGGGUAACCCUGAGUAAAGUGGCGGACUGGUGAGUAAUACGUAGGAAUCUGCCCUAAAGUGGGGGAUAACCACGCGAAAGCGUGGCUAAUACCGCAUAAUCUCUACGGAGUAAAGGCCCCAUAUCUUCGGAUGUGGGGUCGCUUUAGGAUGAGCCUACGGCGGAUUAGCUUGUUGGUAGGGUAAUGGCCUACCAAGGCGACGAUCCGUAGCUGGUUUGAGAGAACGACCAGCCACACUGGACUGAGAUACGGCCCAGACUCCUACGGGAGGCAGCAGUGGGGAAUAUUGGACAAUGGGGGAAACCCUGAUCCAGCAAUGCCGCGUGUGCGAUGAAGGCCUGCGGGUUGUAAAGCACUUUCGGUGGGGAAGAAAUGCUCAGGGCUAAUAACUCUGAGAGUUGACAUUACCCACAGAAGAAGCACCGGCUAACUCUGU